UGACAAACCCACAACUGGUGACCCCGACGUCAUUGACUACGCAGAGACGGAACAGCACGUUUCAGUUUGAGAGAGAAACUGCAUCCGGAUCCCCAUAAAUCUCAUCCCGGACGACUUCGCUGUCAAAGGCUAACUGGUUAUGACCCUGAUGUUAUCGUCCCUGGAAUUUCACUGGAAAACUUUAAGGAUCUGCCACACCCUGGAUAGCAGCCUCCACCUGGGAAGCAAGUAACAUCUCUUGGGGCGAGAUAAAGAAAUUAGAUUCUCAGGCCACUAAUGUCAUGAGGGAGGCAAAAGUGCCUCCCACUCCAAAAUACAGCUUUCUGGCAUAUCUAGCAGUAAUUUCUCAUGCAUCAGCUCAGGUAUUGUUGCUUCUUUUACUCUUUAUAUCGCUUCUUUAAGUACAGGGGCCCAUCUAUACUGGGCCCAUAUUAUUCACCCUCCAGUUUUCCAGCCAGUCACUUGGUGGGAUGCAGACCCCCCAACUCAGCACUAAUGAUACUCAAUGGGCUGGAGGAGUCUGGCUCCCUCCUCAAAGUCACCUGUUAGAAAAUCGUGAUUGGAUGAUGUUAAAUGAAACUGCUUCUUUUAUCUCCUCUUCCCCCCGCCCCAAUUUGUGUGUCUAAUGUCCCUUUAUCCUUUGACUUACAUGCUAAGACCUGUACUUAUUUGUACUGUUUACCUAAGACUGGCACAAAACCUGCUAACUUAACUUUAGUUUUUGCUGCAGCUUUUGACAUUAAUCAAACAACGUCUGCAGCCUUUCCUCCGCCUGUUGCUCGUUGUCAUAUGUCUAAAGAAUGGAGUCCUCAUACUCAAUCCGUCUCUUGGGUCCCUUGCAGGGCACCCAGUCCCCGUGGAGCCCCACUUUUUAACUACACAGUCUAUGGUUGGGGCCCACAAGGAUAUCUUUCUGCUAAUCAUACUCGUAUUGGUUUUGGCCUUCUGGCCACCUCUCAAGUAACCUGGACAGAUGGGGGACUCUCUGGGCCUAUUUUACGCCUCUCUAACUCUCAUGCCCAUAGUCCCUGGAACAUUAAUCUCUGCCGCAUUGCUUUGCCUUUCUUUCCCAGGACUCUAUCACAUGGUACAUAUGUUACUAACACAGUUGUUAAUACUCAGUUUUAUCGUAUUGAUGUAGACUCAUGUAUCCAAUCAUGUAUUAUUGUGUACUACUCACCCUUAUGUUUUUCUUAUGACAUCUUCUAUCCUUAAUGUUACAUUAGAAGAUGGAUUUUAUACUACCCAUGUCCGGCCUCCGGCCUGGUACACUUCCUGUAUUAGCCCAAUGAACAUUACUUCUCAGUAUCUCACAGGUACUCAUUCUAAAGUGACAACCUCAGAUUUGACUACCUGUUAAUUUAACCCGCCCCUGGGAGGGCAAAAUUGGUUUUGUUAAAUGAACUCAUGCAAUUUCAAAGUGGGGACCAAAACGCUUUAUUGGUUAGCUGAUUGCUUUUAUCAUCUCAGCUGUUACUCUUGCCACUGCUUCAGUAGCAACAGUGCCCCUUACUAAAUCAAUCCAUACCGCUCUGGUUGUUAAUCAUGUUAUGACUAAUGUUACUCAGGCUAUGAUAACUCAGACUCAAAUUGAUGAUGGAAUUAUGCGUUGGCUUCAGGCCUUGGAAGCUGCUUUGGAAUGGCUUGGUGACUGACAACAUUGUUGUUGAUUGCCAGCCCCUGCAGUGUGAUUGGCAACAUGAUAAGAUACAUGUUACUCCUCUUAAAUAUAACCACUCCCAGUAUUCUUGGGAAGUUAUU